rnacentral:rRNA from 1 species
AGAGAAGAAAGUUAAGUAGAGUGGAAAAUUACUUAAGUGACGGUAUCUAACCAGAAAGGGACGGCUAACUACGUGCCAGCAGCCGCGGUAAUACGUAGGUCCCAAGCGUUGUCCGGAUUUAUUGUUCCGUAAAGCGAGCGCAGGUGGUUUCUUAAGUCUGAUGUAAAAGGCAGUGGCUCAACCAUUGUGUGCAUUGGAAACUGGGAGACUUGAGUGCAGGAGAGGAGAGUGGAAUUCCAUGUGUAGCGGUGAAAUGCGUAGAUAUAUGGAGGAACACCGGAGGCGAAAGCGGCUCUCUGGCCUGUAAC